rnacentral:rRNA from 1 species
ACGGAAGGCAGCAGUAGGGAAUCUUCGGCAAUGGGGGCGACCCUGACCGAGCAACGCCGCGUGAGUGAAGAAGGUUUUCGGAUCGUAAAGCCCUGUUGUAAGAGAAGAACGUGUGUGAGAGUGGAAAGUCCACACAGUGACGGUAACUUACCAGAAAGGGACGGCUAACUACGUGCCAGCAGCCGCGGUAAUACGUAGGUCCCGAGCGUUAUCCGGAUUUAUUGGGCGUAAAGCGAGCGCAGGCGGUUUAAUAAGUCUGAAGUUAAAGGCAGUGGCUUAACCAUUGUUCGCUUUGGAAACUGUUAGACUUGAGUGCAGAAGGGGAGAGUGGAAUUCCAUGUGUAGCGGUGAAAUGCGUAGAUAUAUGGAGGAACACCGGUGGCGAAAGCGGCUCUCUGGUCUGUAACUGACGCUGAGGCUCGAAAGCGUGGGGAGCAAACAGGAUUAGAUACCCUGGUA